UUUGAGAAAAUUUUAAAAAUUUGGAUUAUUGAACUGGAUUAGUACCCAGGUAAUCAAAAUUAAUUAAUUCGGGAGUAAAGUUUUGUUUAAACCGAAAAAAUAUUGACUGACUCUGGAUUUCUUUUUGGAAUAUGUGUAUGGAGAGCCCUCUUUAAUAGUAAAUCUUUUUUUGCACAUGUAUGAUUGUUUAGUUUUUAUUUUGUUUUGUAAUGCUUUUUUUUUAGAUUUAAAACAGAUAUAUACUUGGCUUAUGGGUUUAUUAAUC
rnacentral:rRNA from 1 species